CCUACGGGGUGCAGCAGUAGGGAAUAUUGCUCAAUGGGGGAAACCCUGAAGCAGCAAAGCCGCGUGGAGGAUGAAGGUUUUCGGAUUGUAAACUCCUUUUGUUAGAGAAGAUAAUGACGGUAUCUAACGAAUAAGCACCGGCUAACUCCGUGCCAGCAGCCGCGGUAAUACGGAGGGUGCAAGCGUUACUCGGAAUUACUGGGCGUAAAGAGCGCGUAGGCGGGAUAGCAAGUCAGAUGUGAAAUCCUAGGGCUGAACCAUAGAACAGCAGUUGAAACUGUUAUUCUAGAGUAUGGGAGAGGUAGGUGGAAUUCUUGGUGUAGGGGUAAAAUCCGUAGAGAUCAAGAAGAAUACUCAUUGCGAAGGCGACCUGCUGGAACAUAACUGACGCUGAUGCGCGAAAGCGUGGGGAGCAAACAGGAUUAGAUACCCCUGUAGUC
rnacentral:rRNA from 1 species